GGAAUUUGAAGCAGUUGAUUUCAUUUUGAGUGCGGACUCUUGUGUGCUAUUUCUCCACUGCUUUUCAAAACUGAGCUGGUGAUCGCAGAAAGGGUUAUCCUGCACGCCUUCAUUCCAGAGGAAUUUAUUCCAGAAUAAAGUCACCCCCCAUGCACUAGCAAGACAAGGCUUCCUGCUCAGUCCCCUUCUAGCCUGUCAGGCCUGUGCUGGAGGUUCCUGCUUUUAAAGGAAGUGUGAGACCCAGCCAGGGACUGACCUCUGCAAGGAGCUGCCAGCAAAUGGAACAGCAGCUGAGCCAGCAUGGCCCAGGGCAUACAGCUCAGGGUUCCUCUAAGCUCCCAGAGUUUCUCUCACCCAUUGAAUCAUCAGGUGAAAUGGACUCUAAUAUUUACUCCCCAUCCAGCAUUAAGCAACUUUUCCUCCCUUCAGUUGUUUUAGUCUGUACCUAUGGAGCAUGGAGGCACCUUCCUGGGAUAGAGGAACCAAGCUCAUUCCAUGUGAAGGAGUCACUAUUCCUACUUGCCUCAGCCUCAGAAGCCAAGAUGGUUCACAUGAAUGGAAGAUUGCUGCAAAUUAAUUAACAAAAUGAGCAUGAAGCUCUUGGCAGGUUGUUUUCGGGAUUAUGGGGCACAGAGUCAGUGCUGGCAGCACUGUCCAUCCCUAAGGGUGCCCCUGACACACCCCAAGGGGUGUGAGGAAGAAAUGCCCUCCUUUGCCUUUCUCAAGAGGCUGGGCAGGAAAGAGGGAGCUCAGAGCCACCCCCUUUGGAAGAGCAAACAAGACAUCAGCUGCUCCCUGAGGUCUCCCUGGGAAACGCACAGCUCACAGGAGCUCUGGAUCUUGUGGUUCCUCUUCAUGAAUGUUGCCUAAAAAUAGAGCUGAAAUGUGACUGUUCAAGAUAGAUCCUUGUGGUAAACAAGGAAAUGGAGCGCAUAGCCAUGGAAGUUUUGCUUAUUUUUCUAUCAUGGUCUGUAAACUGUUAAAAUCUAUUGAUUGUAGCUUUUUAUUUUAGGGUCAAUUGCCAAUAAACUUAAGAAAACCU
rnacentral:lncRNA from 12 species